rnacentral:misc_RNA from 1 species
GAUGAAGAACGCAGCGAAAUGCGAUAAGUAAUGUGAAUUGCAGAAUUCAGUGAAUCAUCGAAUCUUUGAACGCACAUUGCGCCCGUCAGUAUUCUGGCGGGCAUGCCUGUUCGAGCGUCAUUACGCCCCUCAAGUCCCCUGUGGACUUGGUGUUGGGGAUCGGCGAGGCUGGUUUUCCAGCACAGCCGUCCCUUAAAUUAAUUGGCGGUCUCGCCGUGGCCCUCCUCUGCGCAGUAGUAAAACACUCGCAACAGGAGCCCGGCGCGGUCCACUGCCGUAAAACCCCCCAACUUUUUAUAGUUGACCUCGAAUCUGGUAGGACUACCCGCUGAACUUAAGCAUAUCAAUAAGCGGAGGA